AAUCACACAAUAGAAGAUUGAUUAACCCUCAUAAAAAAAAGAAAAGAAAAGAAAUUCUCAAGAUUGGAAUAAACCUAUAUGAUACCAUGUAAACAAGCAUAGUUGUAGAGAAAAGAAUAUUGUUGUGUGUUAUUCAUCUUAGGAGUGAAGAAUUUAUACAUGUUACAGGAGAUAGAAAAAUAAAAUAAAAAAUAAAUCCCUACAAACCAGUUCUAUGAUCC
rnacentral:lncRNA from 1 species